rnacentral:lncRNA from 1 species
UAAAAAAUUAAAAAAAAAGGUCUGCUCAGAAAUAGGGGAAACACGGGAUCAAGAUCAUUAGAGAUUUAUAGGCUGGGAUGCACACCAUGUCUUCAGAGCUAGCCGGCUGUGUCUUCUCCCCGUUUCUUUCACUGGUGAAUAACCUUUCGUUUGAACCAGCCUUGAUUGUUCUCUCCAUGUUCCACUGUGGCUCCCCAUGGACACUGCUAGGUGGAAUCUCUGAGAAAACAGGCACUUCGCAGUCGGCGCAUCUUUCUCUGCCAGCUUAGGGAUUGCCGUCAAGGUGGAGGAAGGGUAUUUUGGCCAUGUUCGGAGUCGUUGUUUUUACUCACUCUUCUUGGGAUAGCUUUCCCACCCUGCCCUCUGCUCCUCUGUCCCAACCCUCUUCCAGCCUGGUUUUUUUACUGCUUGAAUUAUGUAUCCAAAAUAAAAAGGAAAAGAAAGGUGCAGUUGGGGCGGGUUGUUGGGGGCGAGGAGAAUAGCCCUUCUGGUUCUUCAGACCACAUAAUGGCCAGAGCAUGAGCCUCACAGAUCCCUGAGCAGACCUGCAUACUAGCACUUUCCACAACCAGCUGGCCCUGGCUGUGAGAGUCAGAUCUGUCCCCAAGGCUCCAGGUCAGAACUUGGACCCAGGUGCCUUCUGAGGCACCGCCAAGGACACAUCCCAGCGCCUUAGGCACCUGUAGGCUAGAAUGACACCUUCCAGGCCAGCCCCAGAGGCCCUCAGGGCUCCCCCUCCAAGCCGGGAGGGCAGGCAGGCACAGGCCCCGCUCACUACCUCAGCACCCAGUGCAGCCCCAGGCUCCCGGACGUGCUCGGCCCGGUGGCCUCUUGUGUGACAGGCCCUCUGCCAUGUCUGUCCGCAGAGCCGGGUGGGGACCCUCCGUGUGGGUCCUCCUCUGUCCCUUUGCAGCUCGCAUUCGCCAGAGCGGAGCGCAGCCCUUGUUUCCUUCUUUCCUCUUCAGCUCUGACUUAAAAACACACUAUGUUCCAAAUCGUUGUGGGAUCGGAAACUAGAACUGCUUGUUUCCAGGAGAGACCACCUUUUCAUAUUUUUUUUAAAAGGAAUUUGUGCUUCAAAAGAAACUCCAAAAAAUAAAUUUAUUGUUAGUCUAGCAUAUGCUCAUUGAAAUUGACUUAUGUUUUAUUUUAAAAAAUCAUGUAGGAUCUGGUACAUGGGGCGGGCAAAAGGGUAUCAUCAGCUUAAGAAGUAAAGAAGUGAGCCUUCCAUUUGUGUGGGUGAUAACAUCUUUUUCCUAGAUCGUACCUCAAAAUUCAGGCUCUCCAUGAAAACAAAGAUAAUCUGAAUAAAAAUUGUGUGUUGGGAAAUGUAUCAAGUGACCUUCAGUUAAGAAAAGCACAGGCUGUUUAUUAGCACAACUUGCUUCAUUAAAUAAUUCGUGGCUUUUUCUGCCACUGGGGUUCUUUUCGUUUUGAAUUCAGCUUGUGUUUGGUUCCUCGGUCUUGUACCCCUUCAGUUCGCCGGCGACGUAAUGGUGAUACCCUUUGUUUUUUGUAUCAUACCUUUUGUGAAUUGUGACAACCAUCCCGUAAUCAUUGUGGCCUCAGCAGAAGUUUUGAACAAUCUUUGCAGCCACUGUUGGGGUGUGUACCAGCAGCCUGGAAGUGACCAGCAGAGCUGACAAAAGCACCCCCUGCUCUGCCCACCUCCGCAGAGUCCUGUCCUCAUCAGAAACGGUAUCGCGGAUGCUCCUCAGGUAGGCGUAGGCAGACUUCAUUGUGUGUUAGCAGUGACAGUGAUGUCUGUACCUAUCUGUGAGUGAGACCCAUUCAUGACACACUAGAAAUGUGUACAUUCUUUUGUUUUCCAUCACGGGUAUAGGUCUUCUGCCAUGAAAGAGAACUAUCAAGGAAAUUCCUGAAAACAAGAUUUGUAAAUUCGAUUUGACCCUCCCAAAUUCAGGGCUGCUCUUUGCAGUGGUCCCUGGCCCAGCAGGUGGCCGGCGUGGCUCCUGUUGGCUCAUGCCAGUGUUGUGCUGGACCCUCGAGUAUGUGACUGUCACCCUUGUCCAAGACUGGUUUUUAACAGUCUUGAUUUGUCAUUUUGAUGCUUUGAAUACUAUAAGGAAAAUGCCACGAAUACCAUAUAAAUACCACACCAAUCUGUUGAACAUAUCUGUGUUUUCUGACAUGGGACCUGCAGAAUAGUAUUUCUUUUAAAUCCUGCAACUUUAUUAUCUAGUAGAAUUCCAAGUAGGUCUGCUUAGACACAUAUUCAGUGAAGAUUGUAUUGUGUGUGAUAUUAUCCUAUCUUUAAUAAAGUCCUACUACUGAAAAACAGGGAUUUGCAAUGAAAAUCAUAGCUAAAUAGGCAGGUUUAGAAAGUUCAAAAUAUUGGAAGUGCUAGAAGGCUGCAACUUGUAAAAUUGUACUCCCCAAGUUCAGUAGGAUAGUAGAGAAGUCGUGCUAAGUUGAUUUCAUUGAAAUGUCACGUCUCACAUCCUGUGGUCCAAAGGUACUAGUUUGUUUUGUGGAAUAAUUUUCUGUUCACUUGCUGAUAAGAAAUUUAGCAGUCAGAAGUAAUUUUUAAUUAAUAACCUUUCUUUUUAAAAGUUGCUUUAUGGUUUACAAGUAAUACUGAUGCAAAAAGGAUUUGUUAACCUAAAUUAAGUAGCACGCACUUUGUUUACAUGCUUCAGUAUAUUGUGGGGUUGGUCCCUUCUCACGAACCCAGGACCUGUGCUUGGGGAACAUUUUGCCAUCAUGCUGUUCUCUUGUACCAAGGAUCAGUGAAAGUGUUUUAUCUUUUUUAUGUAGUUUGUAUUGACUGGAUUUUAUAACUGUAAGAAAACAGAAACAGAGUGUUGUAUUUUGAUCUGAAAUUUGUGUAUGCUAAAGUAAUUUUGUUUUAUGUAUUGGAAGUUCACUUAAAAACUUGAAAUAUUUUCUAGAAGGGUACCACACAAAAGGAAUCAUCUUUAAGCUGUUUAAUUAACCUAAUAAAAUAAUUUGAUGGGGAAGGC